CCUCUGCUCUCCAAUCUCCAAUCUCCAAUCUCCAAUGCUGAGCUACAAAGUAAAAAGUAACACUCCUAACGUAGUGACGACAGAAGACUUUGGAGACGAGGAUUGAAGCCAUGGCGCCAGCGGCAACAGCUCCGAUCAGCCGCUGCGUGCUCAUCGUAAUUCUCAUAUUCUCCCUGCUGAUCCAGCCGUCGAUCUCCAUAUACUGCGACGAGGACGACUGCUACGAUCUCCUCGGGGUUCCUCAAAAUGCCAAUGCCUCCGAAAUAAAGAAGGCUUACUAUAGGCUCUCACUCAAACAUCAUCCGGAUAAAAAUCCUGAUCCGGAAUCAAGGAAAAUUUUUGUGAAAAUAGCAAAUGCGUAUGAGAUUUUGAAAGAUGAAGCAACAAGGGAACAGUAUGAUUAUGCAAUUGCACAUCCAGAGGAGGUCUUUUAUAAUACAGCUAGGUACUACCGGGCUUAUUACGGUCACAAAACAGAUCCUCGUGCUGUCAUUGUGGGUCUUCUAUUGGUGCUUUCUGCAUUUCAAUAUCUAAACCAGUGGACAAGGUAUAAGCAGGCUGUUGACAUGGUCAAGAGAACACCAGCUUUCAAAAAUAAGCUGAAGGCUUUGGAACUUGAACGCACAGGUGGAAUGACAAUUAGAAAGAAGAGUAACAAGCAAAUAAACAAGAAAAUGGAAGAAGACCUCAGCAACGAGCUUGAACUGCAGAUUAAAGGGGCUGAAAAGCCAUCUGUCUGGGGACUUCUUGGCAUUCGUUUCAUUCUUCUUCCAUAUACUAUUGGGAAAAAGCUAGUGUCAUGCAGGCUUGAACCUAGAAUCUUGAAUUUGGCUAUGUACAAGAAAACUACUGAUUAGCUUUACGUCCACAGCUGCUGUUGUGGCAUGGAUGUUGGUUUUGGAGGUACAACGUCAAACGAUCUCCUUAUUCAUGGGAAGAUGCCUCCUAUUUGACACAAAGAUCCUUGGGCGUGCCGCCCGAUUCAUGGACAUUCAUUGAUGAAUCAACAAAGGAAGAUCUUGUACAGCGACGUCUAUGGGAGAAAUCCAAUUUGCAAAGCUACCUUGCUGAGAUGCGGAAAGAAUCAAAGCGCAGAAGAUGACAAAUCUCAGAUUGCAUCCACGAUGGAAGGCAGCAGGCAGUAGGCAGGACUAUUUCACGCUGACAAUUUUGGAGGAGUUUUUCCCAUCAAUCGGGGAAAUAUCUAAUAGUACAAGAAUACCAUACUCAAGUUAACACUUUUAUUGGUCAAACCAUAGAAGAGGAUUCUUUUCGACGGUGGGAUACAUUUUGUUGUAGAAAAUAGGCCAGGUUCCUGUUGAUGUUUCGCGGUGUCAUUAGUGUAAUUGUGAGCAACUUCUGCUUAAUGCUGGAACCUGUUGUGGUGAUGUGACACUACGCAGUUCAUAAUAACCUGUUGUGUUUAACAAUUCGAUUUGGCACUUAAAAUUUAAUGGUUCAGAUUUUAAUAUAUUCAGAGAGAGAGGUGCAUGAUUACAAAGA